rnacentral:misc_RNA from 1 species
AAGUCGUAACAAGGUCUCCGUUGGUGAACCAGCGGAGGGAUCAUUACAGAGUUUUCUAACUCCCAAACCCAUGUGAACUUACCUUUGUUGCCUCGGCAGAAGCUACCCUGUAACGAGCUACCCUGUAGCGACUUACCCUGUAGCGAUCAUUCUGCCGGUGGACCAUUAAACUCUUGUUAUUUUAUUGUAAUCUGAGCGUCUUAUUUUAAUAAGUCAAAACUUUCAACAACGGAUCUCUUGGUUCUG